rnacentral:rRNA from 1 species
UACGUAGGGUGCAAGCGUUAUCCGGAAUUAUUGGGCGUAAAGAGCUCGUAGGCGGUUUGUCGCGUCUGCUGUGAAAACUGGAGGCUCAACCUCCAGCCUGCAGUGGGUACGGGCAAACUAGAGUGCGGUAGGGGAGACUGGAAUUCCUGGUGUAGCCGGUGAAAUGCGCAGAUAUCAGGAGGAACACCGAUGGCGAAGGGCAGGUCUCUGGGCCACUACUGACGCUGAGAAGCGAAAGCAUGGGAGC